rnacentral:rRNA from 1 species
AGAAGGGUAGCAAUACCCGAGUAAAGUGGCGCACGGGUGAGUAACACGUGAAUUAUCUACCUCCGAGUGGGGAAUAACUGAGAGAAAUCUUAGCUAAUACCGCAUAACACUUACGAGUCAAAGCAGCAAUGCGCUUGGAGAGGAGCCCGCGGCCGAUUAGCUAGUUGGUAGGGUAAUGGCCUACCAAGGCUUCGAUCGGUAGCCGGCCUGAGAGGGCACACGGCCACACUGGCACUGAAACACGGGCCAGACUCCUACGGGAGGCAGCAGUGGGGAAUCUUGCACAAUGGGGGCAACCCUGAUGCAGCGACGCCGCGUGAGCGAUGAAGCCCUUCGGGGUGUAAAGCUCUUUCGGCAGGGAAGAUAAUGACGGUACCUGCAGAAGCAGCUGCGGCUAACUACGUGCCAGCAGCCGCGGUAAUACGUAGGCAGCAAGCGUUGUUCGGAGUUACUGGGCGUAAAGGGUGUGUAGGCGGUUUUCUAAGUUUGGUGUGAAAUCUCCCGGCUUAACUGGGAGGGUGCGCCGAAAACUGGGAGACUUGAGUGUGGGAGAGGAAAGCGGAAUUCCUGGUGUAGCGGUGAAAUGCGUAGAUAUCAGGAGGAACACCUGCGGUGUAGACGGCUUUCUGGACCACUACUGACACUGAGGCACGAAAGCGUGGGUAGCAAACAGGAAUAGAUACCCUGGUAGUCCA